GGUAGGAGCAUCUGAGGUAUGCUUGUCUUUGUAGGUUAAAAGAUUUUCUCUUGGUUUAUUUCUCACUGUCUCUAUAGUAUUAUUCAAUUGUGUUAGUGAAUAAUUUUUUUCUGUGAACUGUUUUUUUUUAAAUCAGUGAUUGUUUGUUAAAAUCGUCAGCGUGAGAACAGUUUCUGCGUAUGCGUAAGAAUUUGCUCUUAG